GACGAACGCUGGCGGCGUGCUUAACACAUGCAAGUCGAACGGAAAGGCCCUGCUUUUGUGGGGUGCUCGAGUGGCGAACGGGUGAGUAACACGUGAGUAACCUGCCCUUGACUUUGGGAUAACUUCAGGAAACUGGGGCUAAUACCGGAUAGGAGCUCCUGCUGCAUGGUGGGGGUUGGAAAGUUUCGGCGGUUGGGGAUGGACUCGCGGCUUAUCAGCUUGUUGGUGGGGUAGUGGCUUACCAAGGCUUUGACGGGUAGCCGGCCUGAGAGGGUGACCGGCCACAUUGGGACUGAGAGACGGCCCAGAAUCCUACGGGAGGCAGCAGUGGGGAAUAUUGCACAAUGGGCGGAAGCCUGAUGCAGCAACGCCGCGUGCGGGAUGACGGCCUUCGGGGUGUAAACCGCUUUCGCCUGUAACGAAGCGUGAGUGACGGUAAUGGGUAAAGAAGCACCGGCUAACUACGUG
rnacentral:rRNA from 1 species